AAAGGAAAGUGGAAGGUAGUGGAAACCUUAUCCUGAUGUGUUUUUUAUCUGGGCUGGAAGGGAAAGUGGAGACGCCAACAUUGCCGAGGCAACUUGGGAUCCCUGUAUAUGUGCUGCUGGGAUGCUUGAGAAUAAUGGCUAGAUGGGCACUGGUAGAAGAGCGCGCGUGCAUGUGAGGAUUGAUGGAGGAGGAGGAGGAGCUUUACAGGGAUGAAGUCAUGAAGAAUUGGGGGGUUGCGCACGUGUCGUUUUGUGAUUCGUGAUUUGCGUCCUUUUCGUUUGUCUUUGUUUCCUUGUGAAAGUCGCUUCAGUAGCCGAGUAUUUAAGGGUUACUUUCUUUCUGGUCAUCACUAUCCUAUCCUAUGGAUCUUUUCUUGCA